rnacentral:rRNA from 1 species
GAUGAACGCUAGCGGCAGGCUUAAUACAUGCAAGUCGUGGGGCAGCGCAGUGUAGCAAUACAUGGGCGGCGACCGGCAAACGGGUGCGUAACACGUACGCAACCUUCCCGUUACUGGGGAAUAGCCCAGGGAAACUUGGAUUAAUACCCCAUAUUAUAUUGAUUGGGCAUCUAAUUAAUAUCAAAGCUUCGGCGGUAACGGAUGGGCGUGCUGUUGAUUAGGGAGUUGGCGGGGUAACGGCCCACCAAGCCGACGAUCAAUAGCUGAUGGGAAGGCAUAAUAGACCACACGCGCACUCGGACACGGGCCCGACUCCUACGGGAGGCAGGAGUAAGGAAUAUUAGGCGAUGGACGAAAGUCUGACCCAGCCAUGCCGCGUGGAGGAUGAAGGUCCUCUGGAUUGUAAACUUCUUGUUUCUGGGGCGAAAACCGGUUUUUCUAAACCAUUUGACAGUACCAGAAGAAUAAGCACCGGCUAACUCCGUGCCAGCCGCCGCCGUAACAC